AUAAGAUAAGCCUUGAAUCCUUAUCAUAGUCGAAUUCUAAGGUCCUUAUCACCUCAAAUUCGUCCAACCUAUCCUUAAGAUAAUCCUUACCUUAUUUUGUAACUAUCACAUAAUUACAAUUCAGCCCCUCUAGUUUAAUUAAUUACAUUUGAUCACAAAAUUAAUUCUUAAUUAAUUAUUGACCAAUAUUAAUUAAACAAAUAUGAUUUCUCCUUUAAUAUAUUAUUCUUAUAACAUAUUAAUAAAUCAUAAUAACCUCUCUCUCUAUUUAUUUCUCCAAUCAAGUUGCUUUGGUGAAGGCAACCCAAAAGGACCAUGCACCAUCGGGUCAAGUACAUACCAAAAUAGUUAUGGACUUAGACACUAAUCCAACAGUCUCCCACUUGGAUAAGUCUAAUAACUAUUCUGCGUAUGACUUCAGAUCCUGAUCUGCAAUCGUAGCUUUCCAAAGCCGCUGUCAACUCUGAUCAUAUCAGAUACGCGUGUCCUUAGAUAAGGGAUCAUAUAUUCCUCCAUUCUAGAUAUCAUAUGAGAUAUGAUUUCAAAUCAUUCUCUUUGUACUAUAUCUCGAUUCCCGAUUUAUGACGACUGACUAAUUGAACAAAUCAAAUUAGCCCUAGCCCGGCCGAGCAUUUACGUUUGUCAUCACUAAAUCAUCGAGGGGCCCAAAGAUAUCGCUUUUAUCCUUCUUUGGAUAAAAGGAACGGAUAAACUUUGAUACAAUGCUUGCUUGUACUCACUCACCGAAUCACACACAACAAUAUGUUUUAUAACACCAAGUUACUAGUGCGUUUACAUAUUAUCAAUGUGCAACCGAUUUGCAAGAUACAACUCACACAUCUCGGUUUCAAGAAUAUAAGAUGUUAUCGUCUCACCAAUCACUCGUGAUACAAUUCAUGGAGUGAUCCAAGUGAGCGUGGGUUUAAUCCAAUGCUCAAAUCAUAUUCAUAAGCACUCAUGAACGUUGCAGCAAACAUUUGCUUAUGUCUAAUACUCUUUUAGACAAUCCACACACCAAUUCACGACAGUCUUCAUUCAUAUCUACUUCCAACAUAUGAACGACUGUGGCCCGUUCGAAUAAUUCGAUUAUUCUUAAUAAACUCAAUUAUUCUGGAAGUCAAAACAUGCAAAUGUGAAACACAAGAAUAAUACUAAUCCCAUAUGGCCUCAAACCUUUGAGUAUAAAUAAAACACCUUUUAUUUAUCACCAUAUUGAUUACUCAUUAUUUGUCGUUUCGGGUAAUCAACUUCUUACUUGAAUUACAACACUUGUCCCAUGCUCCUAGCAUGCACACAAUGUUUACCUAUGGUUCUUACUUUGUGAAAUAGAUCACAUUGAACACAUUUCCAAUCAUUCUCAUUUCACAACUCCAAAUCCUUUUUUCAUAAGUUAAAGAAUAUCAAAUUCUUGCUACUUAUAGAAUAUGCUAGAUUCUAACAUUCUAUGCAACUAUCCUUUCGUAAUGUCACUGCACCAAAGUCACAAAGACUAUUGCCAAUGAUAUUACAAAGUCCUCUAUCGGAGAUUGUUACAAGACAAUUCCAUAGAUGUGAUGUCUCUCACUCAAAGUACAUUCUUUGAACAUCCUUUUGCAUAGAAGUUUCUAAUCUAGUCAUAGAUUUCUCAAUAUUCAAUUCCCAAUAUGGACACACUUCCAUAUGUUCCAUAUGACAACUCAUUCUUAAUAGAAUCUUAUCUAUUCGUAAUGAUGUCGAUAUGGUCCAUCCAAUAUGGAAACAUUUCCAUAUUUUCCAAUACUAUACUUCCAACUACUCACAAGCGACCAAUCCUCGUCGAACUUUGGAUUGUCCUUUGAUAGUUGUUUAAUUAUUUUAGUCAAAACCGAUUCUAGUCCUUUUUCCCUCUAAAUGCGCUAGACAUUUGGAAAAUUUUAGAAUGGUCAAACAUUAAAGCAUUUGCAAUCGAUCCUAUACCCGAAGCGUAUGGGACACGACGCAUAAUGUUUUAUUUGCUAUGUUCUCAAAAUUCGAAUUGUGAAGAGGGAUGCCGUAAUCAUAAUCGAAAUUUUAAGAACACACUAUGUACCUUUGACUAAAUUUAUUAACAUUUCUCAACCUAAUCCUUUAGAUUUGAAAUGAAGCAUAAUAUUCUCUCCCUUAAUUAUAGCAAAACAACUUUUCAACUCUUACAACUUUGCAAAGUAUGACUCUUGUUUUCUAUAAUUAAUAUUGCUAACCUUGCAAUACUUUCCUUAAUAAUCAUACAAUCAUAACAUUUAUGCUCCCACUAUCAUGAUGAUUAUUAUAAAACAUAACACUUAUGCUCCCACUAGCUUCGACAUGUAUUCAUAAACAUCUUAACUUUCAGAAAAAAAAUGCUUAUUGAAUUUCUUAAGUUCAUGUUUCUAAUACUUAGUGCUUUGAUAAUCUUUUAUCAAGGCUUCUUGAACUUAUACACCUUUGCCUUCGAUAGUUCAUAUGUGUGUCUAAACAAUUAAGACUAAUUGCCAAACCUCACAAUUCAAAUUAUGGAAAGGGAUGCCGUAACCAUAAUUGAAUUCGAGAAUGCAAUUUUACAAUCACUAUCUUCUUAAAAUCUUUCUUAGUGAAAGCAUUUCCUCACAAUCAUUUUCAUGAAGGAGGAAAUCUUAUGACACUUAGAUUUAAACGGUGUAUGUGUUCCUAUCCAUGUGAAUUUGUUAAAACCAAAGUUUACGACAAAUUCAAACUCAUAUGGACCGAACUUUCUUAAUCUUGAUUUCUUGCCUUAUGGUAGCACAGCUGCCCACCAUGUCUUCCAAGUAGUUAAGCAGCUCACCCUUUCCUAUCAAUGUACCUUUCAUUGAUUAAGGUGCUUUGCCUUUUAUGCGUUCAAAAUGAGAACUCAUAGAACUCACAUGCAUAAUUAACUCGAUUGGAUUGGCACAGAAUCAAAAUAAUGUCAACACGAUAGGUUGUAAACCUCAACUCGUGUGCUAGUGAUGAUCGAUAAGGUUUAUUUGAUUUGUUCUUGAAACCUUUCAAGACCAUUAAGACUCCCACUGACUCCUUGACAUAUAAGAUUCUCUUGUCAAUAACCAUUUCUUGACAAACAAAUAUUCAAGAGUUAGUGUAGCUUUUAUCAAAACACUUCAUAAAUUGGUCCUAGUUGGUCUUUGUCUUAUCCAAGACAUCACAACUUUCCACAUUUAAUGAAUGUUAUAAACCUUCUUUAUACUUAUCACUCAAUGUCACAAUCUUAACUCUGAGACUUGUUUUGGAACGAAGUAUGAUUGACUUCUUGAUUUAACCAUUUCUUCAAUUCUUGAUUCCUCUUCUUAGACAUACAAUUGUACUAAGACUCACUUAGAGGAUCAAUUGAGAUAUGGUUCUUAAUCAUUAAGACCUAUCAUAAAGCAUAAAAGGUACUCUCCCUUCUUCUUAGAAUGGAGAAACUUUUAUCUUUCUGCCUACUUGAUUCUUCUUAUUCGUUCUGCUAUUGAUUUAAACCUUUUCAAUCAAUUCAGAAUUACACUUAAUCUUAUAAGUAUAAUCAUAUUUACUAAACCUUUAGUAAAUCAUGACGAAUAUCUUUGUUACUCUUAUGGUGGACUUGAUCAACACGCAACUUUGUGUACUCGAUCUCCUAGUCCUUCACUUGACACUUUGUCAAUGAAUUAGUCUAAUUUCCAAAUAUGAAAUUUCUCAUUCAUCGUGCAACCAAGUUGCAUGAUUCCAAGUUUCUGUCCAAUUGAAACUUGGGCGAUGAGAAACUCUCCCUAUUUGGUAAAUUCUCGACUUUCCAUAAAUAACAUAAUAAGAACCAAAUCCAUUAUUGCUAAUAAUAGAAACAUUCAAACAUCAAUUUUUCAUAUACGCCAUUGCAAGGAUAAAUAAAUAAUAUAAAAUCAAAAUUUAUUUUAUUGCGGAAAAAUUUUGUCCUUACAAUGCAAUUCAUUGAAAAACUAUGCUAAUACAUCUUUCUUAGCAAUCUAAUUCUAACUCUAAGUAGUAGCUCAAGAAUCUAAUCUUCGAGAAAUGCGAUCGAAAUCCAUUCCUUCACGGUUAGAUUCUGCUCACUUCUUCCCUUAAGCUUCCUUUCUUUUCUUCGAUCCUACAAAACAUCAAUUGUAAUCUUAUCACAUUAUGUAUUAAGAAUCUAGAAUAGAAGCUUAAAAGAGUUAGUUAAUGGAUUUUACCUAUAUUAGAGCCAUACGUUUCGACUCUCCCAUCUCUUAGAUCUCUUAGGUAAAUGGGGCAGCUUCGUCUCCAAUGCCCCUUCUCUUGGCAAUAAAAGCAAAUCGACUCUUUUGGAACAGGACAUGGAACUACUUCAGACAUCGCCUUUCUCUUAUGAUCAAACCUUUCGAUCAUAGCAUGUCUUUCGUUGCCAUUGUCUAUAUCCAUAGAGGUCUUGAAGGAAGAUUCACCAAUCAAAUUUGCUUUUCCAUUGUGCCAAAACAUUUAUGAUUCAGCAGCAAUAAGCAUAUAGGUGAGAUCUAUAAGGGUCACGUCGCGGUUCAUCAUAUAGUACUCUCUUACGAACUCACUAUAUGAGUUAGGAAGUGACUGAAGAACCCAAUCAACAGCUAUUUCCUCACAGACAACGGAUCCCAACAUUCUUAACCUAUCAAUGUGUGACUUCAUCCCUAGGACGUGUGCACACACCGACUUUCCUUCUUUAUGUUUACUUGCCAAAAGGGCUUGAGUGAUCUUGAACUUUUCAAGCCUUUGAACUUGUGGGUUAGGGAGAAUAAUUGGAGGAGGAGGAGGAAGUGAAGCAUGAUUUCUUGUUCCUCGAUCGAAUCGUGGAAUAUCAUCUUCAUGUGGAAUGCUUGUUCCACGGGAUUUGGGAAGACCAUAGUUGUCGAACUUUGACAUCUACAAAACGGGAGAAAACGAAUUCAAGUUAGUUGAUUGAUUGAGUCCUUAGUAAAUCACCCAAAUGAGAUACUAAGGCUAGGACCCAACACAAUAUUCUACAACUCGGGAGAGGGAUGCCGUAACCCUAAUUGCAGAAUAUUUGAAGGUAAGUGAAUGACGAUUCACUAAUUUCCACCAUGAAAAACGAAAAAGAAAUUUAAGUUUUAAAUCUAUGAAAACUCCUAGAUCCUUUGAGAUUCAUUGAACUUUCAAUGGCAUGUUUAAAUCUCGAUAUGCCCCUCUUGUUUGUGACUGGGAUGCCGAGGAUCACAAAGCGGGUGUGAAUAACCAUGCAAACUUACAUGGUGCCCUCACAUGUUACAGUCACCUAUUCGAUGUGCCGGUAAACCACACACGCUCCACCGAACUAUGACAAACAUUGAGUCACCCUUUGCUACCUUUGCUUAGAACCAUUUAGUGUGCCGGUAAACCACACACGCUCCACUAACGUCUUCGCAAGGGCACAAAGUGUAAUUUCAUGGAAUUGCAUCAAUUCACUUUUGCCUAAGUAACUAAGAUUGGGAAUUUUAUGAAAACAUUUAGUUACUUUAAUAAUUCAUUAUACUUAUAAUGGAAGGUUUCGUCCUAUCCUACCCGUUCGGCUAACGACCCUCCACUAGUCAAGAGUGCGGUGGGUAAGAGUGGAUACCCAUUCAAUCGCCAUUUUAUAGGCAAUUUCCUUAAACACCCCUUAUAGACCAGCUUCGUGAAUGAGGCCUACUAACGGUAAGACUGACUUUUACUCAUACAUAUAUAUAAUGUUAGACUUUUAAUGUUAUAUAUAGUAUAGGGUGUAUUUUAUACUUUUAAAAUACUAGGUGGUCUAAUUUAACAAUUAUACUUUUAAUUCAAUUAAAUUGUAAACCUAAACUUUUAUGGAUUUAUUAAACCUCUUUUAAUUAUACACCUUAAUUAAUUAAUAAAACCAUAAGGGUGUGAUUUGAACUUUUUCAAAACUAUACUAGAGUUUUAGAAUUUAACAUUCCUAAUUAAACUUUUAAUCAACUUUUAAAUUCCAAAACUUGAGGGCAAGUUUUGAAACAUUUCAACACAUUAGGGUUUAGAAUUUAAAUAUGCAUCAAAAUUAAACUAUUUAAUCAAAAUUUAAAUUCCAAAACUUGAGGGCAAGUUUUGAAACCUUUUUCAAAACAUUAGGGUUUCAACUAUUUAAAUUUCAAAACAACAAAACUUUUGGGUUCAAAUUUAAACUAUAAAACCUAAAGGGCAAAAUAUGAAACUUUUCAUAACAACAAGGAUCAAAUAACAAAUAAUUCAAAUUAACAUUUAAUCACAUAAUUAUCCAUAUUUGAUUUAUUUAAUGAUUUCUUGCAAAACAAUUUAUCAAUUUACUCAAAAUAAUUAAUCAAUUAUCUUAUAAGGAAACAAUUAUCUUAUUAAUUGAUAAAUAUCUUCAAUUAGAUUAAAAAUAUAGUCAAAUAUAUCAUAUAAUCGGAUUAAUAUUAAUCUAACAUGAUAAGGUAAUUAUCCCAAUGCAAAAACAGCAAGAAAUCCCGAGAUAAGCACUGUCUGACGCACCGACUCGCCGAGUCACCCUCUGGAACUCGCCGAGUAGGGCUGACUCGCCGAGUCCAAGAGUGACUCGCCGAGUCAGGUCGAACAGUGAGGCCAAAACACGAUUUUCAGUUACAUCAAGCAUCAAUACAAUAGAAACCAAUCAUGUCUCUGAUACCACUGAUGGGUUUUGGUCAUAAGACAUCCUAUGUGCUCAUACAAACCCUAAUGCUUGGAUCUAGGUUUCUCUAUUGUACAUGCUUUGAAUCCAAGACUAUAAACCCUAAUUCUAGCAUAUGGAAAUCGAUAUUAACAUAUAAUUAGGUUUAAGAUAUUACCUUGAUUGUUAUGUAGCAAUAACAAUCCAAUUCCUCCUUGUAUUGACUUUGGAAGGCUUAGAGUCACAAGUGUCACUCCUCCAAUGGCUUACAAACACCAUAAGCAAGUGGAGAAGGUAUAAAGAGAGAGGAGAGAGGUAGAAAUUCGUCCUUAGAUGCUCUAGGGAUCAAGUGCACGAAAUCCUAAGGCCUUAGGGGUCUUUAUAUAGGGUUGGGAUUAGGGUUNCAGUCCUUAUCCUUAUCUAGUUGCUUGCUUACCAAGCAACCCAUAAGAUAAGCCUUGAAUCCUUAUCAUAGUCGAAUUCUAAGGUCCUUAUCACCUCAAAUUCGUCCAACCUAUCCUUAAGAUAAUCCUUACCUUAUUUUGUAAUUAUCACAUAAUUACAAUUCAGCCCCUCCAGUUUAAUUAAUUACAUUUGAUCACAAAAUUAAUUCUUAAUUAAUUAUUGACCAAUAUUAAUUAAACAAAUAUGAUUUCUCCUUUAAUAU
rnacentral:lncRNA from 1 species